rnacentral:rRNA from 1 species
GAUGAACGCUGGCGGCGUGCUUAACACAUGCAAGUCGAACGGAAAGGCUCCUGCUUGCAGGGGUACUCGAGUGGCGAACGGGUGAGUAACACGUGGGUGAUCUGCCCUGCACUUCGGGAUAAGCCUGGGAAACUGGGUCUAAUACCGGAUAGGACGAUGGUUUGGAUGCCAUUGUGGAAAGUUUUUUCGGUGUGGGAUGAGCUCGCGGCCUAUCAGCUUGUUGGUGGGGUAAUGGCCUACCAAGGCGUCGACGGGUAGCCGGCCUGGGAGGGUGUACGGCCACAUUGGGACUGAGAUACGGCCCAGACUCCUACGGGAGGCAGCAGUGGGGAAUAUUGCACAAUGGGCGCAAGCCUGAUGCAGCGACGCCGCGUGGGGGAUGACGGCCUUCGGGUUGUAAACUCCUUUCGCUAGGGACGAAGCGCAAGUGACGGUACCUGGAGAAGAAGCACCGGCUAACUACGUG